GACGAACGCUGGCGGCGUGCUUAACACAUGCAAGUCGAACGGAAAGGCCUGCUUUCCCUUGUGGAUUGCGGGUACUCGAGUGGCGAACGGGUGAGUAACACGUGAGUGAUCUGCCCCCAACUUGGGUAUAAGCCUGGGAAACUGGGUCUAAUUCCCGAUAGGACUGCAGGGUGGUGCCUGUGGUGGAAAACGAUUUUCUAGUGGUUGGGGAUGAGCUCGCGGCCUAUCAGCUUGUUGGUGGGGUAAUGGCCUACCAAGGCGGCGACGGGUAGCCGGCCUGAGAGGGUGGACGGCCACAUUGAGACUGAGAUACGGCCCAGACUCCUACGGGAGGCAGCAGUGGGGAAUAUUGGACAAUGGGCGGAAGCCUGAGGCAGCGACGCCGCGUGGGGGAUGACGGCCUUCGGGUGGUAAACUCCUUUCGACCGCGAGGAAGCCACCUGGUUGGAAGGGUGGUGACGGUAGUGGUAGAAGAAGCACCGGCUAACUACGUG
rnacentral:rRNA from 1 species